rnacentral:snoRNA from 1 species
CAAAAGUAAAACAAUAAAGUUAUAAUUUCCCAGCACAUAUCUGAUUAUUCCAUGUGAAAUUUAACUACUCUGAGUUUCCUG